CCAAGCUGCCUGAUUCCAAAGGGGCUCAGCCCCUUUUGUUCAGACUUUCCAAGCAAUUUCAUCCCUCGGGUGGAAACAGAGCAUGGAAUGAUUUGGAGCAAAAGGACAAUUUUUGGACAAUUAUAAGUUUUGGUGGUGGGAGCACAACGCUAAGCAGCUGUCUGGAACAGCUUCUAGAGGCUCAAUAAUUAGAAACAGCUACACUGACUCAGGAGCCCAUCGGUUGGACUAUGGAGGAGCAUGGCUGUGCAUACAGGGGAAGGAGGAGGAAAAGGCUGGGAACGCGUAAAAAUAAAAGUUCAA